GGACGUACUUCCGGUUUGCGGGGGGGGGGGGAGGGCUCAGGCAGGAGACGAGGCAGCCGCGUUCCUCGCUGCUGCCUACAUUUCCCAGCCGGCACCGAGCGUGCCUUGGAGCCAAUCCAGAGCGACGCUGAGCAGAGCCGAGCUCCCUCCCGGCUACAGGAGUCUUUGGUGAAGCAGCCGCUGGCCACCGUUGGGGGGGACGUAAGCCAGACUGGCCGAGCCUGGCUCUGGAAAGCAGAGAAGGGACCCCCCCACUCGCCCGGAGCUUACUUGGCAACACGUUAAGCAGACCCCCUUUUCACGUUUAGUGGUAUUUUCUUUCCUUAAAGAGGCACGUGCGUCAGCCACUUGGGCGUUGUGUCCUCCAAGACCGACAGAGCGCAUCGGGUUCCCUGCAGCUGGGUACAUGUCAUUGCUGAGCAAAUGACUCCAGUCCUUCAUUUUAGUUUGAGAUAGGAUUUCAUUCCCCGCACCCACGUGAUGGGAGGUGAGAACUGAGUCACCCCAAGGGUUGUCGUCUGACAUCCAUCCAUGUGCUGUGGCACACGCGCAUACACACCCACAGUGAAAAAACAAUAAUGCCCUUUAAAAAUGUGUUCUUGUGCGUGCGCACAUGCGCGCCACAGCAAACAGUUCUCACCUUCCACCACAUGGACUCAGGGAAUCGAACUCAGGUCUUCAGGCUUGGCAAGAGCAUCUUUAUCUAACCAUCUGACUGGUUUUGUUUUCAAUCCGAUUUGUUUUUCUGUCCUACCGCAGGCCGUGCUUGAGGGCGCUGCACAGCUCUCUGCAUCUUUGUGUCUAUACCACAUGAAUUUGGCCUUGCUGUCUCCUUCUCCUUCUUAGCUGCAGACAUCUGCCUGCCAUGCAUGAGCAUGUCAUGGGCUACCUGACAGGCGCACCCCACUGGAAGUAACUAGCCAUAAGCCACCCCCGAGCCCCUGACCACCACCCCUCAUGCGGAGAUGUGGCUGAGCCACCAGUGCCAGCCAUGCAAGAGACUGUUAGGGAUACACUGUUGCCGGACCAUCCCGGUGCUGGUGGCUCUCAGAACCCGCUACCUGGCCCCUGCUGCUUGGGACCAGACACCAGGACCCCGCCACAAGCUGCUCAGGACCCACAAAAUUCAUAACAUUUUGGUGCCACGUGACUCGGAUAGGUGCUCCUGCCUGGAACUCCUCUUCUAGGGUCAGGAUCCUGAACUAGGGUCUUUUUUCCACUCCUAUCACCGACUUCCUGGCUUCAAUCGAGCCACGGCCCCAGCCUCUCACUGGAGGAUUCUAAGUGGGGCUCCACUCCUGAGCCACAUCCAAACCCAAGCAGUUUCUCCGCGUUUGCUUCAGUUGGACUGACCAGGGUCGUCCCCACUGUGCACGGGGCCAGGAAGGUGCACCCACUUACAGGUGUCUCUAAGAUCUCUGGUGGGUGUCUCCCUGGCCCUAAGGUUAGCUAUGGAGAGAUUGGCUGCCGGAAGCUUUGAUGGGCGCGAGAGGAAGCUCUGGAAGCCACUUCCCUUUUGCUGCUGCCUGCUUGUUGCCAUGGAAACCAAAGGUUCUGAAGAACCCAUUAAGAAGCAGGAAGUAAUCAAGGCUCUCUGGACAGCUCCCACCUUCCCUAGGGACGUGAUCUCUGUGGUUGCUGGGCUGGGGGUUGGGGUGUGGAGGAGGGGGGAUGUCAUUGGUCUUCUGAAUCCUACCUCCCAAUAAAAUAAAAUUCCAUAUGUGGCGUAUUCCAAGCAGAGACCUUCAGGGUGCCGGUGUCAGGGAAGGAUUCCUGGAGUCACCACCUUGAGCCCCUGCUCGCACGUCUGUGAGACACUCGCUUGCUUGGGAAAGCCAGAGACCUCAUCAGUGUUAUGCGGCAGUCAAGCUUCCUAGUCCCCUCACCCCAGAAGCUGAGGCCAGGAGGACAGAGCCUGUGCAACACUGAGAGACAAACAGCACAGACAAUGAUGCCAAGGAACACCAGAGUGCCAAAAAUAUGUAAAGUAUCAAAGAGUCUCAUAACUGGAUCCCAGGCUGGGCGGGUCCCAGUUGCCUCCUCGCUGAGCUUCCCUGAACCAUACGCUUUACAUCUCUGGGCCUCAGCCUCUAGGUAAAAGGCUACAAUACAAUGUCUGCCCCAGGACCUCAGGUGAGAGACGGUUCAGCGUUAGAGCUCUGGCUGCUCUGUCAGAGGCCCCAGGUUCGGUCCCAGCAUCCACAGGACAGCUCACAACUGUGACUGCAGCUCCAGAGGUCCCGGGACCUCUGCUGGCCUCGGUGAGCACUGCAGUCAUGCGCACAAAUCCUCCGCA